rnacentral:lncRNA from 1 species
GAAAAAAACAAUAGAUGAACAGUUAAAUGCAGUAACCGUUCCAAUGACUCAAAAUAGCGUGUGCCUGGAGCUGAAGUCUCCAUGAAUUGCUACUGCUUUGAUUUUCUACUAUCUCAGAGAGUUGUUAAAUGUCAGAGAUUUAAGUCCCCAUAUGUGCGUCCUCAGAUAUUAAGGACAGAGGUUCGAGGGACCUGAAGCUUGAACAACUUGUGUAGAUUUAAAGAAAACAAAUGCAAACCUAGGUACCGAGCCUCGGCAGAAGCGAGCGAGCGACCUUGAGACUUGCCCUUGGCUGGCAUCCCCGGAACCUACAUCUGAUCAAGCAACGUGGAAAGACAGGGGACUGGUGAACGCAGCCGCCGCCUCCACGUCAGCCUUCCUGAUGGCCACGCGUGCGUGGCGACUAGUCUAAGUCAAAACCAGCCUUUCCGGCCUCUGCGUGUCACCCGCACUUGGUCUGGGGUUCCAGAGAUGAGCUGCUCUUCUCUCCUUUUUGGGGUGGACUAGCAUCCUGUGGCGGCUGGAAACUUACCCCCAGAAUGGAUGCAGGGGGAAAAAAGACUGAUGAAACCUUCAGGUAAAAUGUCAAGGUCAAUUCAGCCACUAACAUUUUCCCCUGCGUCCCGGCAGGGGUGCUGCGGCUGCCCCCAAAGCUGUGCAGCUUCUCCAGGAAACAGCUGUGGUCAAAUCACGCCCUCGUGUGCUCAUCCUCGCCCCUCUGCUAAACCUGUCUGUGCCCACGUCCCUCUUGAGCGCGGAGACUGGAUCUUACUUGGCUAUUUAGCCUCAGGGCCUGACGCAUCUUGACACACAGGAGACCAACAAAAUCCACGU